rnacentral:rRNA from 1 species
UACGUAGGGUGCGAGCGUUGUCCGGAAUUAUUGGGCGUAAAGGGCUCGUAGGCGGUUUGUCGCGUCGGGAGUGAAAACACCGGGCUUAACUCGGUGCUUGCUUUCGAUACGGGCAGACUAGAGGUAUGCAGGGGAGAACGGAAUUCCUGGUGUAGCGGUGAAAUGCGCAGAUAUCAGGAGGAACACCGGUGGCGAAGGCGCCACUCUGGGCCGAAACUGACGCUGAGGAGCGAAAGCAUGGGUAGCAAACAGG